UACGUAGGGGGCAAGCGUUGUCCGGAUUUAUUGGGCGUAAAGAGCUCGUAGGUGGUUCGGUAAGUCGGAUGUGAAAUCUCCAGGCUCAACCUGGAGGGGUCAUUCGAUACUGCCGUGACUAGAGGUCGGUAGGGGAGUGUGGAAUUCCUGGUGGAGCGGUGAAAUGCGCAGAUAUCAGGAGGAACACCUAUUGCGAAGGCAGCUCGCUGGGACGUAACUGACGCUGAGACGCGAAAGCGUGGGGAGCAAACAGG
rnacentral:rRNA from 1 species